rnacentral:rRNA from 1 species
UUGGAAGCAGCCAUUCAUUUAAAGAGUGCGUAACAGCUCACUAGUCGAGGAGUUUGGCGUGGAUAAUAAUCGGGUAUCAAGUUGUCUACCGAAGCAGUGGGAUCAUUUAUAUGAUCGGUAGGGGAGCAUUCCAGUCGGCGUCGAAGGCGUACCGUGAGGUAUUCUGGAGCGUCUGGAAAAGCAAAUGUAGGUAUAAGUAACGAUAAAGGGGGCGGGAAACCCCCUCGCCGAAAGACUAAGGUUUCCUGAUCAACGCUAAUCGGAUCAGGGUCAGUCGGGUCCUAAGGCUCAGCCGAACGGCGAUGCCGAUGGCAGAAACGGUUAAUAUUCCGUUACUACCUUCAGGAGUGACGUGGAGACGCAGUAGUGACAGUGCCGCCAUCUGACGGAAUAGAUGGUUGAAGGGUGUAGGAGUCGAUCAUGGCAGGCAAAUCCACCAUGAGAUCCGAACCUGAUAGUAUGCCGCGUCCUUCGGGACAAGGCAAUAGUGCGCGUAAGCAUGCUGCCGAGAAAAUCCGCUAAACUUAAUCCUGCAGGUACCCGUACCGCAAACGGACACACGUAGUCGGGAUGAAUAUUCUAAGGCGCUUGAGUGAUUCACGGUUAAGGAACUAGGCAAACUGACCCUGUAACUUCGGGAUAAAGGGUCCCUACCCUUUUAUGGGAGGGCGCAGAGAAUCGGUCCAGGCAACUGUUUAACAAAAACACAGGGCUGUGCCAAAUCGAAAGAUCCAGUAUACAGCCUGACACCUGCCCGGUGCUGGAAGGUUAAGAGGAGAUGUCAUCGAUAAGAGAAGCGUUGAAUUGAAGCCCCAGUAAACGGCGGCCGUAACUAUAACGGUCCUAAGGUAGCGAAAUUCCUUGUCGGGUAAGUUCCGACCUGCACGAAUGGUGUAAUGAUCCGGACGCUGUCUCAACCAUGAGCUCAGUGAAAUUGUAGUAUCGGUGAAGAUGCCGAUUACCCGCGAUGGGACGAAAAGACCCCGUGAACCUUUACUAUAGCUUAUCAUUGAAUCUGGGCACGUGAUGUGUAGGAUAGGUCGGAGGCUUUGAAGCAGGUACGCCAGUAUUUGUGGAGCCGCUGUUGAAAUACGACCCUUUAUUUGUUUGGAUUCUAACCCGUGGAUACGGGGACAUUGAUUGGUGGGUAGUUUGACUGGGGUGGUCGCCUCCAAAAGCGUAACGGAGGCUUCUAAAGGUGCCCUCCGGCCGAUUGGUAACCGGCCUUAGAGUGUAAUGGCAUAAGGGCGCUUGACUGGGAGACUGACAAGUCGAUCAGGUAGGAAACUAGAGCAUAGUGAUCCGGUGUUUCCGUAUGGAAGGGACAUCGCUCAAAGGAUAAAAGGUACUCCGGGGAUAACAGGCUGAUCCCUCCCAAGAGCUCAUAUCGACGGAGUGGUUUGGCACCUCGAUGUCGGCUCGUCACAUCCUGGGGCUGGAGAAGGUCCCAAGGGUUGGGCUGUUCGCCCAUUAAAGUGGCACGCGAGCUGGGUUCAGAACGUCGUGAGACAGUUCGGUCUCUAUCUAUCGUGGGCGUAUGAAAUUUGCGUGGCUCUGACACUAGUACGAGAGGACCGUGUUGGACAGACCUCUGGUUUGCCGGUUGUGCCGCCAGGUGCAUUGCCGGGUAUCUAAGUCUGGAUCGGAUAAGUGCUGAAAGCAUCUAAGUACGAAGCCGGCCACAAGAUUAGAUUUCUCAGGGUCGUUGUAGACUACGACGUUGAUAGGAUGCAGGUGUAAAGAUGGAGACAUCAAAGCCGAGCAUUACUAAUUGCCCGUCCACUUUCCUUA